rnacentral:lncRNA from 1 species
GGACACUGCGUCCACAAUUCCACAAGCCAUUUAUACAUUCUUGAUGUUUGACGUGGUACCUCUUUCGGAUGAGUUCGGGGGCAGCAGGAGAAAGCAAAGCUGCGAUCAGAAAAGGGUCAUGUGUCACAAAGGAGUAACCCCACAAGAACGACAACGGUAACCGGACGCGCGAAACUCUGUGCAAUCGCCUUAACCAGCUGUGGAAUGAUAAUCUCCGAGAUUUUCCCGACGCUCCAUUCUACGAUUGUGAAGAAAAAGGAGAGAAGCUUCAUUUUACCGAGCUUCCACAACUCUGUAAACUCAGCCGGUGCCAGUGCUGGGUUACAGUGUCCUGGUCCAGCGGCAGCUGUUUCUCGUGAAACCCGUACAACACGGUGUGGACGCUGGACAUCAAGAUAACACGAAUGGCAUGAUUCGAGGAUCUAGCUUUGUUGUGAGCGCGAACGAAUAGGGCACACAUCGUCAGACGGUUCGGUUGCCACUGUGAAUCGGUGUAAAUGUACAGUUGUUUUGGUGUAGCGUAGAGCGGUGUACCCUCGCUCACGCCUGUUCUUAAAGCAAACGUGCUGCGUUUCAGGAUUACAAAACAGAAAAAAUACACGAAGCACAUGCUGAUCUGCAUCAGUGGGCCGUUUCCAGCAACGUUUCAUCUUCGCUGACGUGCCGAAGAGUUCAUGCUCAAUGGUUUAUAACCAUCUCAAGGGCCCGGCACCGGCUCAGGCAC